GAUGAACGCUAGCGGCAGGCCUAACACAUGCAAGUCGAGGGGCAGCAUAAAAUUAGCUUGCUAAUUUGGUGGCGACCGGCGCACGGGUGCGUAACGCGUAUGCAACCUACCUUAUACUGGGGGAUAGCCCGGAGAAAUUCGGAUUAAUACCCCAUAGCAUUAUUGGAUCGCAUGGUUUGAUAAUUAAAGGUUACGGUAUAAGAUGGGCAUGCGUCCUAUUAGCUAGAUGGUGAGGUAACGGCUCACCAUGGCGACGAUAGGUAGGGGGCCUGAGAGGGUGGUCCCCCACACUGGUACUGAGACACGGACCAGACUCCUACGGGAGGCAGCAGUGAGGAAUAUUGGUCAAUGGGCGCAAGCCUGAACCAGCCAUGCCGCGUGCAGGACGACUGCCCUAUGGGUUGUAAACUUCUUUUGUAUAGGGAUAAACCUUUCCACGUGUGGAAAGCUGAAGGUACUAUACGAAUAAGCACCGGCUAACUCCGUGCCAGCAGCCG
rnacentral:rRNA from 1 species